GGGGGUAAAGCUCUGUGGUAGAGCAUUUGACUGCAGAUCAAGAGGUCCCCGGUUCAAAUCUGGGUGCCCCUU
rnacentral:tRNA from 1 species